rnacentral:lncRNA from 1 species
AGCUUCUUCAGUAUCAAGGUGUCGAACCGAAAAGUUUUCGUGUUCGGUUCAGGUUCAGGUUCAGUCUUCU